rnacentral:rRNA from 1 species
CGGAGGGUGCAAGCGUUAUCCGGAUUCACUGGGUUUAAGGGGUGCGUAGGUGGGUUGGUAAGUCAGUGGUGAAAUCUCCGUGCUUAACAUGGAAACUGCCAUUGAUACUACUGGUCUUGAAUUUUCUGGAGGUAAGCGGAAUAUGUCAUGUAGCGGUGAAAUGCUUAGAUAUGACAUAGAACACCAAUUGCGAAGGCAGCUUGCUACAGGGAUAUUGACACUGAGGCACGAAAGCGUGGGGAUCAAACAGGAUUAGAUACCCUGGUAGUCCACGCCCUAAACGAUGGAUACUCGACAUUUGCGAUACACAGUAAGUGUCUGAGCGAAAGCAUUAAGUAUCCCACCUGGGAAGUACGACCGCAAGGUUG